rnacentral:lncRNA from 1 species
CAGGUCUGGCAUCUGUUCGAGUACUGACCAGCCAGCUCUCCAGGUGAAACCAGGUACUGAAGAAAUACUCAGUGAUUCAUAAUUGUUGAAAAAACCACAUUGGACUGUGAGAUCAAAAAACAGAUGUCUCUGAAGAAAGAGGGUAAUUUGAAAGAAAUGGAACAAUUCAUAAUGUGGAUGUGGAAGUGGAGGGGAACAGCACAAAGACAUGGAAGGAAUAGCAAAAUGAAAUGUUUAACAAGUAAUGGAAAGCAGGAAUAUUACAAUAGUAGACUGCUUUGGGCAGUCGACUGGAUGGGUCCUUCCUGGCCUGCGACCUUGUCAUUGGUUCAGCAAUGUCUGCUUGUGUCUACUACUGGGCAGGUCAUAGCAGGAAUUCUGUCACUUUGUUUGGACUCCUGGCCAGGCAUGCAUCUCCACCUGCCCCCUCAACUGCCUUACCACCGGCUGCGUGGCCAUGCCACCCACAGGCAGAGAUGUCACAGCUAAGCACCGAUGAGGAGGAUUCUUUGGACUGGAAUAUACUGGCCCCAUAAGGUGUUCUCCAGGCAUUCAGAAGGUUGUCUUUCCCAGUGCUUACGAACCAUUUGCCACAAUGGGCAAACUUGAGCGACAGUACACAGCUCUCAUGGAGAUGCAGCUGAUAUUUAUCUGGCUUGGUGACAUGUAGCAUUUCCACGUUACUGUCCUCCCUUCCCACUGCCAGCCACUCUCCGGUUGGGCAGAAGCCCAGAGAGAAGAUCUGUGUGUGAGGUGUCCUUGCUGUUGAAUUGUGAAUACUCGGUAAGAACCUGUGAUACCAAAUCUUCAGCUCUCUACUUGGAAGAACAUGGAAUAACCAUACUUAACAGUGACGAAUUCUUUAAUUAAGUAUUAUAUCUGUAAUAUAUUUAUUUUGUUUAAAGAAGGCUUUUUAACUUUGAAUAAAGCUGUCUGCUCCUGCACUGAUAAUGAAGAUGCAUUGUAUCUGAUACCCCUCCCCCCCCUUUGUUGGCAAAGGAGGGGAAAGGAAAGUUUAAAAUAAUUGAUGAAAAAUGUCACUAAAUGUAGACUAAGGACUGUAUAGAGAUGUGAAAUGUAUAAUUACAUAUGGAAACAAUAUGUUGCUGUGUUGUUAGAUUUUUUUGUUUUCUACUUAUUUUAAAUGUUUGAAGAUUUGAACAAUUAGAACAUGACAGGCCACAUCAUAUUCAUUUGAGUCUAUUUGGAGAACUUUAACCAAUAUAUCUAUAGCUUUAGAUUCUAUUUGAUAAAAGUAAUUGGACUUUUUUCUUUUUUCUUUUUUGACUGGUCGACAAGUGUCUUUGUAAUAAGUUUUUAAUUCCUUUUUUUAUUGUAUUAUAGACAGAUGAACAAAUUAAAUUUGGCCUAAAGAGAGAACUUAAUCCCUUCUGGAUAUUUUUGCCAUGUUUCUUUGCAAAGGGAGAUGUAUACCUUUGGGCAGUUUUGUCAUUACGAGAAAUUACAGGCUAUUUUUUGGCAUGUUCUUUGGGAACUGCACAGAUUCAGGGGAGGAUUCCUCCUGCUGUGCAAGUCAAGUCUUUUACAAAACAAGGACAGCAGAGGAGAUUUGCAAGGACCUCCCUCUGAAACCAGAAAGAAUGGACUCUCACCUGAGAUGAGGACUUGCUUUCUUUACCUCCGGUUCUUUCCCUGUCUUAGUUGGAUGUCCCCAAAAUGGACACAGGCUGUGCCAUUGUGCCAGAAACAUUGUGUUAUCUUUUAUGUUGUUGUUGCUGUUCAACUAUGAUAUGUGACUCCUUUUUUUUAUUAUUAUUUUUUGUUUGAAUGCUUUAAAAAUCUUUUAAGUCUGUGGAUCUGCUGAUGUACAGUGCCUUUGCUGCUAUGGAUCAAAAUCAAGAGAACUAUGUAGAUAAACUUUAUUGUAUAAGUAGAAAAUUACUUAAUUUCAUACUAGAAACGGAUGGAUGCUGCAAGUUGAAAUGGACUGUCCAUUGACAUUCUUAAUGUGGUAGCAGAAAAAAAUGGUGUCUUAAGUGCUUAGUGUUUGAUGUCAUUAACAGUUUUGUAAAACUCUACAGUGUAGAAAGAUUUUGAUACUAAACUAUGCAUUGUACAUAGUUCUAAUGCUUCGUAUUGACCACCAGUACUUCUAUAAUGGUAGACUGUGCAUUCAGACUUUUAAGCAUUAAACAUAAAUAACUUCUAAAAAAAAAAAAGAAGAAGAAGAAGGGAAUCUCCUCUUUCUGUCUCUGUUGGCUGGACCACUUCCUGCCUGGAGCACUGUUCUUUAUUUGCCUUACUUAUUACACUUACUGGACAGGAAGCUCUUAGCAGGUAAGGAUUGCAUUUGAGUGUGCACACAUGUGUGCAUGGACCUGUGUGGAGGUGAACAUGGGUGGGGGGAGUUAUUCUGCACUUUCUGUGUAGUGCAUCUGCACAUUCCCAGCAGCAGCCACCCUGAAUGCUGUUUAUGGGAAAAGCUGAUAAGCAUUAGAGAACUGAGUGCAUACUAUUUGAAAACUAUGAGACCUUCUGGUUGCAAACAAACAAAUUUACUUAUUUCCUAGAAUUUAUAUGUAUUAUGUGGCUUUUUUUUUCUGCACAAAUAUAUUUGAUAACUCAACACUUGCAUUACCUGUAACAACACUUCUAAAAAUUUUUUUUGUCGAGAUUUUCAUUGCUGUGGGCUUUCAGCAGGGGUAACUGGGUCUCCCACUAACCAGGCAAAACAAGUUGUGCACUGGAAUCUUCAGCAGGGUCUGCUGGAGUCAGGCCUGCCCCCUCUAACUCACACUAGCAGACUAGCUGUGUCCACAAAAAUGUAUUUUAUCUUGUGAAAAAGUCUUGUGUAGGCACCAAAGAUGUCAACAGCUAGAAAAAUACAUUUUAUUGCUUCACCAAAGGCACUGAAAACAUACUUUUCAAUAGAAAUAUGUCUUUUACCUGCUAAUCAACUGUUCCCUAAUUAUCAAGACAAAGGCAAAUUCUGGAGGAGCAACAGGGAUGCCAGGGUUGCAUGGGAGUGGCACCUGUAAGCCUGCAUCCCCUGGCUGCCCUCUCCUUUGGUCUCUUCUCAGACAAUGUGCUGAUGGAGGGGACAUGUAGGGUGGAGGCUGCAGGUUGGCCCCUCGUGGCCCACGUGAUGGCCUCGUGGUACAGAAACUACAGUAUAACAUGGCGUGGCUAGAGGCCAGGAUGGCAUUAUGCAGAGAGGAAGCAGCUGUGACACUUCUGAUGCUGGCAGGCCUCUCCACUCCUUCCAAAACUAGCAGCUUAGACAGGGUGUGCUUAGACAGGGUGUUCUAAUCUUUGUCUUCCUCUGGAAUCUAGUCCGAUUUUUUCUCCUCUGUUGCUCUCUUGCUCCAGCCUCUCGGUAUCACCUCACUGCCACCCACUGCCCUUCUGACGAGUUCAAGGGGAAAGGGAAAGGAAAAGUCAGGAUAUGUCAAGUGGAUUCCAUGCACGCCCCCUCCCACUGCCCCGGGUGGCACAAUAGGCUAAAUCUCCCAGUUGAGUGGAUGGGAGUUUGAAAGAAGCAAAACAGACAGUGCUUGUUUGCCUGAGAAGCAAAGGAUGUCUGUGUCUUUCCUUGACACAGUCUUCAGAUCCUUGAGCUCUCACUGUCACAAGAAGAGCUACUAUAGCCAAAACUAAAAUAGUAGCAGGAGAGUCGGCCAGUGUCUUCACACUCAAAUGCCCAUGAUAACCUCCACUGUAGUUUAAGCACCAGGCUCUGAUGUGGGAUCUCCUUGCAGCUUGGCCACAUCCUCCUUGCAGGGGGCAGGAAGGGUCAUGGAGGGGUGAGCUGCCUGGUGCCCAGAGUAGGGAUGCCUGCUGCAGAGUGGCCUUGAACAAGCCACCUCCUCCCCUCCCCACAUUCAGCGUUGUUGCGAAGAGUGAGGGGAGUCCACAGAUGUAAGAAAAGUAGAAGAGCCCACAUCAAGCACUUGAGAACAUCUGCAGUUUAUGGGAGUAGCUGGGAAGUAACAGGGAGUCUCUGUCUUCUCCAAGGCACUUAGCAGAGGCUCCUCACACCUGUUCUCUCCACUUCUCUGGGACGGCCCCUUUCACAGGUGCCAUUAGCCCUGUUGGCAGAAGAGGUCCUGGAGGCUGCUCUGCUGUGAUAGGGGCUUUGCUCAGAAACAUACUCCACAGCUUGUUUUUGCCCGACUCCCCUUGGCUUUUACUUCCCCAGCUACUGGCCUAGCUAUUUAUUUCCAUUCCCCUCCCUGGGAAGUCUUUGGACUCAUAACCAUUUUUCCUGUCUCAGACCCCAGCUUCUCCAGCUGAAGUCCUGAUGCUGGACCCUGGCUGCCCUGACCAGCCUCUCUCACUUGGUAACAGGAACCCCAUUCUCCCCAGUCCGUGUGAGCAGGGGAGGAGGCAGCACUCAGACCUUGCCCCAGCCAUGACCCAGGGACCCAGAGCUGGGGAUGCCAAAUGUUGCAUUUGGAAAGUGGCAGGGAUGGUAUUUGCAUUUGCCAAACUGUAGGUUUUCUCCCAUCUCAGCCUGCACCUCUACUUCCUUACCUUGGAGGGCUGUGCUUAAGACUGAGAAGUCCCUUCAGCUGACACCUAGGCUUGCGCCCAGUGAGCUAGCUGACUGGGUGGGUGAUAAUGUGCCUGACCUGCUCUAGGCCAUUUGUUUCCUGCUCAUGGGACAGUGCCUGGGGUAUACAUCAGAUUCUUUUUUUUUUUUAAGUAUUUUAUUUAAAUUCAAUUUGCCAACAUAUAGUAUAACACCCAGUGCUCAUCCCAUCAAGUGCUCUCCUUAGUUCCCAUCACGCACUCACCCCAUCUCCCCCCCACUCCCCUUCCACGACCCUUUGUUCUUUUUCCCAGAGUUAGGAGUCUUUCAUGGUUUAUUUUCCUCUCUAAUUUUUCCCCACUCAGUUCUCCCUCCUUUCCCUUAUGGUCCCUUUCAUAUUUCUUAUAUUCCACAUAUGAGUGAAACCAUGUGAUGAUUGUCUUUCUCCAAUUGACAGUGUCAGAUUCUGUACGCCAGAACCCCAGCCUGAGUUCUGAGAUUUCUAUGCCUCUCCCCUGUGCUCAUUUGUCACUCCUUUCAAAGAAAGAUCUACUCAUUUUUAUGAAAACAUGAAAAAAGAAAAAAUACCUAUGAAAACAGGCUGAGGGAUGAAGUGCCUUGCAGGCUUGGCUCACAGAGUAGAAACUGGAGAUUCAAGGAAGGAAACCAGCAGCAAAGUCUGCUUUUGCUCCACAUUCAGAAAGUGGACACUUGAUCCAUUUCUCAGUUUCCGUAUCUGCAAAAUGAAGGUGCUAAUUGACCAAUUUUAGCUUAUACCCAAGGACUCUGGGAGAAUGAAUGAGCUUGCAUUUCCACAUGGCACUGAUGUGAUGGAAGGU